GGUGGACAGGUGCGAGCAGUCUUCCCUCCUCACUGUGUCUUCUGCUUCAGAAAGCGACAGCUACUGGUGAUGUGUUCAGGGUCUCGUCCAGUCUCAGCUGUCAGAACAUCCCACCCAGGAGGAUAGGUGGUAUAGAUGAUGGAUGAAUGGACGAUCUUCACAUUGAGGGGCGGAGGGACACAGUGGCACUACCAAGGAGUCCCUGCAACACAGCAACACACAAGAGGUGUGGAGGGGCCUGAAAACCAUGUCUGGCCAGUGGGGAGAUGAUAAGAGGGACCCUGAAUCUGGAGACCUGGAGCAGGCAAAUGAUCUAAAUCUAGUCUUCAACGCGUUUAUUUUUUUCCCCCAAUUGCUGCCCACUGCUCCUGCACCCGGCUUUUGUGUAAUGGUGUGUAAAAAGGAUGGGUUACAUGCAGAGCCCAAAUUCACUAUCAAUA